rnacentral:snoRNA from 1 species
CUGCAUCCACUGAAGCCUUCACUCAGUCAAGUCAUCAGCUAAUAACUGGACAGAGAUUGCCUUCAGUAUCUUGAACCAGUAAAACUUCUGGGAUGUGAAAGAAAAAUAUCCCUGUGCUUUCUGUCUGUCUUUGUGGCGGUCCAGAUUCAAUAAGGGACUAUAUCU